rnacentral:rRNA from 1 species
GGAGGAGGCGAGCGUUGUUCGGAAUCACUGGGCUUAAGGCGGGUGUAGGCGGGGUGGAAGGUGUCCUGUGAAAGCCCACGGCUCAACCGAGGAAUUGCAGGGCAAACCACCACUCUUGAGGCAGGUAGGGGCAAGUGGAACCAUGGGUGGAGCGGUGAAAUGCGUAGAUAUCUAUGGGAACGCCGGUGGCGAAAGCGGCUUGCUGGGCCUGUUCUGACGCUGAGACCCGAAAGCGUGGGUAGCAAACAGGAUUAGAUACCCUGGUAGUCCACGCCGUAAACGAUGCGCACUAGGUACGAGGGCUCUGACUGCUUUCGUGCCGAAGCAAAAGUGUUAAGUGCGCGCCCUGGGGAGUACGGCCGCAAGGCUA